GUUUGGGGAUUNCGGCCGCAAGGGCUUAAAACUUCAAAAGGAAUUGACGGGGCCCGCACAAGCGCGGAGCAAUCGGAAUAAUUCGAUGCAACGCGAAAGAACCUUACCAAGGCUUGACAUACAACCAGAACACCCCUGGAGACAGGGGACUCUUUGGACACUGGUGUACAGUUGGUGCAUGGUUGUCGUCAGCUCGUGUCGUGAGAUGUUGGGUUAAGUCCCGCAACGAGCGCAACCCUCGUCGCAUGUUGCCAGCACGUCAUGGUGGGAACUCAUGUGAGACUGCCGGGGUCAACUCGGAGGAAGGUGGGGAUGACGUCAAAUCAUCAUGCCCCUUAUGUCUUGGGCUUCACGCAUGCUACAAUGGCCGGUACAAAGGGCUGCGAUGUCGUAAGGCGGAGCGAAUCCCAAAAAGCCGGUCUCAGUUCGGAUUGAGGUCUGCAACUCGACCUCAUGAAGUCGGAGUCGCUAGUAAUCGCAGAUCAGCAACGCUGGGGUGAAUACGUUCCCGGGCCUUGUACACACCGCCCGUCAAGUCAUGAAAGUCGGUAACACCCGAAGCCGGUGGCCUAACCCCUUGUGGGAGGGAGCCGUCGAAGGUGGGAUCGGUGAUUAGGACUAAGUCGUAACAAGUUACCCGUACGGGAAGGUGCGGCUGGAUCACCUUAAAUCAUCUGUUAUGCAUUCGCGAGUAC
rnacentral:rRNA from 1 species